rnacentral:rRNA from 1 species
GUAGGGAAUCUUCGGCAAUGGACGGAAGUCUGACCGAGCAACGCCGCGUGAGUGAAGAAGGUCUUCGGAUCGUAAAGCUCUGUUGUAAGAGAAGAACGAGUGUGAGAGUGGAAAGUUCACACUGUGACGGUAUCUUACCAGAAAGGGACGGCUAACUACGUGCCAGCAGCCGCGGUAAUACGUAGGUCCCGAGCGUUGUCCGGAUUUAUUGGGCGUAAAGCGAGCGCAGGCGGUUAGAUAAGUCUGAAGUUAAAGGCUGUGGCUUAACCAUAGUACGCUUUGGAAACUGUUUAACUUGAGUGCAAGAGGGGAGAGUGGAAUUCCAUGUGUAGCGGUGAAAUGCGUAGAUAUAUGGAGGAACACCGGUGGCGAAAGCGGCUCUCUGGCUUGUAACUGACGCUGAGGCUCGAAAGCGUGGGGAGCAAACAGGAUUAGAAACCCCAGUAGUCC